UCGUCGCUGAAGCUUGCCGUCGUCGCUGAAGCUCGUCGUCGUCGCUUCAGCUUCCUUUCACCAAUUCAGCUCCUACGACCCUUCGGCUUCCACUUCAACCGGCUAUUAAGGACAAGGUGAAGGAAAAAGAAGAACCCGCAGAGAGGCCGGGCCAGUUGGAAUGCAAGGCUAAAUACACAUUAUUUGCAAUAAUUUUGGAUUUUUUUUUUUUUUU